GCGGGUAUAGUUUAGUGGUAAAAGUGUGAUUCCAUCGACUAUAACCCCUAGCCUUCCAAGCUAA
rnacentral:tRNA from 1 species